AUUGAACGCUGGCGGCAGGCCUAACACAUGCAAGUCGAGCGGAUGAAGGGAGCUUGCUCCUGGAUUCCGCGGCGGACGGGUGAGUAAUGCCUAGGAAUCUGCCUGGUAGUGGGGGAUAACGUCCGGAAACGGGCGCUAAUACCGCAUACGUCCUGAGGGAGAAAGUGGGGGAUCUUCGGACCUCACGCUAUCAGAUGAGCCUAGGUCGGAUUAGCUAGUUGGUGGGGUAAAGGCCUACCAAGGCGACGAUCCGUAACUGGUCUGAGAGGAUGAUCAGUCACACUGGAACUGAGACACGGUCCAGACUCCUACGGGAGGCAGCAGUGGGGAAUAUUGGACAAUGGGCGAAAGCCUGAUCCAGCCAUGCCGCGUGUGUGAAGAAGGUCUUCGGAUUGUAAAGCACUUUAAGUUGGGAGGAAGGGCAGUAAGUUAAUACCUUGCUGUUUUGACGUUACCAACAGAAUAAGCACCGGCUAACUUCGUG
rnacentral:rRNA from 1 species